UACAGAGGGUGCAAGCGUUAUUCGGAAUUAUUGGGCGUAAGGGGCGCGUAGGCGGCUUUGCAAGUGACGGGUGAAAUCCCCCGGCUCAACUCCGGAACUGCCUUUAAGACUGCAUCGCUUGAAUCCAGGAGAGGUGAGUGGAAUUCCGAGUGUAGAGGUGAAAUUCGUUAGAUAUUCGGAAGAAACACCAGUGGCGAAGGCGGCUCACUGGACUGGUAUUGACGCUGAGGUGCGAAAGCGUGGGGAGCAAACAGGG
rnacentral:rRNA from 1 species